UGCAGCUCCUGAAGCCUGACACAAACCAAGACAUAGCAACUCAUUGUCAUGCUACUAAGGAUUUGAGGAGAUUAUGUUGAAUUAUUGAGGCUUGCUUUGUCUUAUAAGGGCGGGGCAGGAUAGGAUGGGUAAAGAGAAUCACUACAAAGUAGUGUGGCUAACUCCAGAUUCAAGGAGACAUCUUGGGAGAUCUCUGUAAAAAAAAGAUUAAAGAUGUACCUUGCAAUUUCAGCUCGUCUCUUUGCCUCUUCAGCGAGUUGGUUAAGCUCUGAAGCGCGGCUUCUGUCAGUAAACAUCUUGGUUUCAGGUGGAUGCAGUCCAUGGAGUGUCCUAUGAGCAUGAGCCCAUUUGAGUUCCCUUGCUUCUUUACCAAAGUUCUUUUGACUUGUGAAUGCAAUCUGCAAAGUUAAAUUAAAUUAAAUUUAAGGUUUCAAUUCACUCCUUU